rnacentral:rRNA from 1 species
GCCAAGCUUGCUUGGUGGAUCAGUGGCGAACGGGUGAGUAACACGUGAGCAACCUGCCCUGGACUCUGGGAUAAGCGCUGGAAACGGCGUCUAAUACUGGAUAUGAGCCCCUAUCGCAUGGUGGGGGUUGGAAAGAUUUUUUGGUCUGGGAUGGGCUCGCGGCCUAUCAGCUUGUUGGUGAGGUAAUGGCUCACCAAGGCGUCGACGGGUAGCCGGCCUGAGAGGGUGACCGGCCACACUGGGACUGAGACACGGCCCAGACUCCUACGGGAGGCAGCAGUGGGGAAUAUUGCACAAUGGGCGAAAGCCUGAUGCAGCAACGCCGCGUGAGGGAUGACGGCCUUCGGGUUGUAAACCUCUUUUAGCAGGGAAGAAGCGAAAGUGACGGUACCUGCAGAAAAAGCGCCGGCUAACUACGUGCCAGCAGCCGCGGUAAUACGUAGGGCGCAAGCGUUAUCCGGAAUUAUUGGGCGUAAAGAGCUCGUAGGCGGUUUGUCGCGUCUGCUGUGAAAUCCCGAGGCUCAACCUCGGGCCUGCAGUGGGUACGGGCAGACUAGAGUGCGGUAGGGGAGAUUGGAAUUCCUGGUGUAGCGGUGGAAUGCGCAGAUAUCAGGAGGAACACCGAUGGCGAAGGCAGAUCUCUGGGCCGUAACUGACGCUGAGGAGCGAAAGGGUGGGGAGCAAACAGGCUUAGAUACCCUGGUAGUCCACCCCGUAAACGUUGGGAACUAGUUGUGGGGACCAUUCCA